rnacentral:lncRNA from 1 species
UGUUCAAGGCAUUCACUAAACAAAAAACUGAACACACUUUUUGUUUGCAAGGAACAAUAUGAGUAGUCCUGGUCAAUAUGCCAAAGCCAUCGGCGUUGUCAUCAUCGCCAUCGCGUUGGCUGUUUUAGCAUGCUUCUACCAAAACAUUCUAAAGCGUCUAGGAAAAAAGACGACGUCGAAUGGUAAUGUGGCCACAACUUCGCAGGUUUAAGGUAAUAUAUUAGGUUUCUUUUGAUGAAGGCUAAUACGUAUCAAAUAUAAUAUCUCUAUUAAUUAAUUAAUCACACCUUUUUUUUUUUCUUUUUUAGGGUUCAGAGUUACCGAGACGAUGAGUUUGAAGAUACAAAAGAAGUCUAGCAUAUGAUCUGUUGAUUAUUUCUUGCGUGCUUCUUCUUUUUAGCGUUUUAAAUAGUUCUCUGUUUUAUGAUGUGUUUUAUAAAAUAAUAUAUUGG